rnacentral:lncRNA from 12 species
CACAUGUCCUAAGGAGCAGGUGGAGAAUUGAAAACGCAGAGCGAUCAUGCAGGAAACUCAUUCUGGGUGCUUUCUGAUAAGGCAAAACUGCCAUCAAACCAGGGCAGGACCCAGACUGCUGUGCUAGCCUUUGAGUUUUACUUAUUUGGUUCCAGCAAAAGCUAAAAAGCAAAACUGAGUUGAAAAGGCCAUUUUUGUCUGUGGAUUUCAGAUUCCUUGAAUUCUUGGAAAGCAAAACAGAAGAAUCCCUGACUAAAGGCUUUCUGAUUUCUUUCAUUAAAGGGCCAGAUUUGAUUUUUCAUGAAAUCCAAACAGCAGCAACCUUUCCUGAACUAUUCCUAUUCCAAAAGAAGAGCAGAUUGCUACCCAUAAAACUAAGCAACGUCAACGUGGAAUUACUGGAAGAAUCCGAAAGUCUUUGCAGAAAUGCUGUGCUUACUCCAAUGUUUCUCAAAAACCAGCUAUUUUAAAGGGACCAGGGUCAAUAUAAAUGAAAUAAAUGGAGGCUAAGAUAAAAUAUGUCA